rnacentral:rRNA from 1 species
UACAGAGGGUGCGAGCGUUAAUCGGAAUUACUGGGCGUAAAGCGUGUUCAGGCGGUCUAGCAAGUCGGGCAUGAAAUCUCUCGGCUCAACCGGGAGGGGUUGUCCGAUACUGCUGGGCUUGAGGGCAGCAGAGGGUGGUGGAAUUCCGGGUGUAGUGGUGAAAUGCGUAGAUAUCCGGAGGAACACCAGUGGCGAAGGCGGCCACCUGGGCUGUACCUGACGCUCCAACACGAAAAGCUAGGGGAGCGAACG